rnacentral:piRNA from 1 species
UACUACGAUAUUAUUUUUUGU